rnacentral:lncRNA from 1 species
CUCGAGUUUGAAAAACAUUGAUUUAAAAAAUUAUAGAACACUAAUAAGAAUGUUAUUUAUUUGUAAUAUCGAACAACUAAAAACAACGUUGCACAGUUGCAAAUUCUCUAUUUUAUUUAGGUGAAAAUUGAAUAUCCUAAUGAGGUCUGCACUCUCGAGUCAUUAUUUAUCCCGCAUAAAAUCGUUUUUACGAUCGAAUUGCAAAUGAUGAUAGCUCGCCUUCUUGAACAGUAAGAUAAAUAGGAUAAAUAUACGAGCGAUUCGAGUGGUAUAGUAUUGUGGGGAAUUUCAUAGUAAAUUGAUGGACUGAGUAAGCUCUAAAAUCAGAGAAGUUUUUAUAACCGUGAUAUCGAAUUCUUAAGCCAUUACAGGUAGGUCAUUUAAUCGUUAGGUCAUAUCGACCGAGGUUUACGUUUAGGAGGAGUCACGUUUACAUGAACAAUUUCCAAGACGAUUUAAACAUUAAAGUGGUUUGAUCAUAAUAUCAACAACCUAUGUAAAAAAUACUUGAAAAAAACUUAAGAUAAACCGUUUUAAAUUUAAGGACGCUCGAAUAGGUUGUCUAACAAAAUAAUAACGGCUGUUUUUUUUUUUUUUUUUAUCGGCGGAUAAAUUUCAACACGGUCAACAGAACGAAUGUCCGAUAGCCCAUAGGUACUUAUAGUUUGUGGCGGCUCGAAUUAUUUUUACCUUAAAUCACCGAUUUGAUCCACCUAUCCACUCCCACCCUACCACAAAUGAAAUUAAAAUUUGUCAAAUUUAUCAAAUUUCCGAAGUCUAAAAUUAUUUGGAUGUUUAAUUUUGUAAAAACACAAUGAUUUUUGUUAUAUUUCUGAACACCCAGGCACCCACGACCCAUCCACCCGUUUUUUUGUGAAUUACGCGUGAUUCAAAUAUAUCUCCUUCGAGCCGCCACUGGGUACCUUAAUAAUAAUUAUGUUGACAAUCGGGGACGUACCUACACGGAAAAAAGUUAAGGGUGAGGGGUGUUUUAGAAAAUCGGUUAUUGAAAAUUAGUGCAAUAACCUAAUAUUAAAAUUGAAUUAGUAAAUAACUAUACAAAAAAACCAAAUGUUUCACGAGGUUUUUGAACACCCAAAACACCCUCCUGCAAACGAGCCUAGUAAAAAUCUAACGGUAAAUAUGCCUAUACUAACCUCCAGUAGCAAAUGAAUCUAAAAAAAAUUCGGAAACAACCCGUAAUCUACAUAGUAACCAAUCAUCGUCAAUAGUUCCAAAAAACUAUAAUUUUUUAUUUAUUUUGAUAAUGAACAUUCGUCACCCAACCCAAAAUCUUGAAAAAAUCGCGAAGCAGCCGCUACUCAAAGAUCGCGUAUUCGUCUCGUUCUAACCACUCCCCUGCCGCCCAUAGUUUUUUCCUACGAAAUGUUUUGGUCUACACCUAUGCUGGAGAUAAUAUUUUAUUCGGAAAACCGCUCCCGACAAAUGGUGCAAAAGAUACGCAAUGUACAAAAAAAAAAAAAAAAAAAAUGGUAAUACCGCAACAGUCAUCCGGUGCCUACACAAACAAAAACGGUACGCGGAACUUUCCGAUGAUAAAGUCAAACGGGGUGUCGACCGUAGGAUCUACACAAUAUUUUUACUACCUACCACGUAACUCACAAAAAAAAAAAAAACCCUAGAUUAUGAACAACUAACAAGCUAUGUACAACGGUGUGUUGUGUCAGAAAACCGCCGAACAAAAAAUAUUCGCGGUAAUUUUGCACGUAAGCGUAAAGCCGUAUAGAUUAAUAGCUGUUGUUAUCGUGUACUCACAUCAGAUUAAACUCGGGCAUAAAUAUAAAUACGUGCCGUCGCCAUUUUGUUGAGAUGUUUACCGACGACACCGCAGCGACCGUGGCUUUGUGUUUGUGCACAAUCGACGUCAUCACUCGGAAUCUCGACAAUGGACGAAAUUGACGUUUACCUGCACCGCGCCGCCACGCCGUGUAGAGAAAAAAACGAACUUUGACACAACAAUAAACAUCAGAAAACACUUCGAACUUCGAACGUAAUUAUACCCACGCGCGCGCUCGAAAACACUGCGUUGUCCGACAGGAAUAAUAAAGUACGCGUUGAUUACGCGCUUACCGUACCGCCGCGUUUCUAUCGGAUCGAACCAAUACAAUACGAGAUCAUCGUGGUUGUACAGCGUUUUUUCACCAUGAAUUUUACGACUUACCACAUUGACCGGGGGUCAACUUUGUUCCGUUCGUAAACACCUCAUCGGCGUUUAUAACCUUAUUUUAUCUUCUUACCGUAGGUACCUAUAUUGUAUUAUUUAUUUUUAUUUUUAUUAAAUAUACAGGAUAAAUGGGAUAUGUAAAGUAGGUGUAAUAAGUACAGUAAGUAUUCGUAUUAUUCGCGAAUUCCUAUCGUACCUAAACAUUUACGGUGGAUCGUAAUUAUUUAUUAACCGUUCAACUUAUUUCCGCCGAAGACGUAGACACACGUAAGAUUUUGGGUUUAUGGGCUUAUAAGUACUGUCCUAAUAUAAUUUUUUAUUUUCAGUGAGAAAUUUCAUUACGCGCAGCUAGGUACCUACAUAGGUAUAGGUCAUAUGGGUGUAUUAUAAUAUUUUUUAUCGUUCGCCGGAAGAAAGAAACCGUCCACAGCAGGGAAGACCCUACGACAGAGUUGGCGGUCGGGUUUCGACAGCCGUCUGCAAUAUAUAGGGGACGAAUCGGGAUAUAUGCUGGACAAAAACGAAAAAAAAAAUUGCGCCGGCUAACGUGAAUCCUAUAAAAUGCAUUUUUAACGUAUACAAUAUUAUAAUGUACAUAACAUAGACUAUCUAUAGUUACAUUAUUGCAGUUGUACGUCCGGAAUAGUACGCACAAACCAUAGUAAUUUUUCAAAAAAAAUUGUCCCCGUUUUGUUUGUGAGGACCGUUUUUUACGACAAUAGCAGCGGCGUGACCAGUGUCCGAAAACACAUUUUCGACGAUACGCACGCUCGCGACUGACCGCGAGAAUACAAAUCGUCAGUAUAGGUGCAAACGAUCAUCGAAAAUAAUAUAGGUACCGUUUCAUUUGACGAUGGUUAACCGGCAUGUGAACGCACAGGAAAUAAUUAUUAGCAUCACGGUCAGACAGGGAAUAGCGGAUAGUUUGCUGACUGGCAAGAAUUACCAGGAUUGGAAGGUAGAUUUUUUAAGUCCAAAUGGCAGCCUAUUGUCUUUAAGUAUUAAGUCUUUUCAGAGAUAACGUAAUUACUACAAUGUAAAAAUUAAACGUUAAAAGAUGCAUUUUUUACGUUUUGUGUAAGGGGGCAAACAAUUAUUCCUUUAUUGUGUGUUCAAGAGACCUGCUAAAAGACAACUAGAAGUGUGUUUAUUUUUCUCGGCUUCAUACGUAUACCAUAAAACAACCAAUCAUUUUCCACUGUCUAACUGGUAGAAAAAAACAAAUUCAUACUGGCACUGCAAUUAGUUUUUAAAUAUUUCAUGAAUCGUAACACAAUAAACAUAUUUUAUUAGCUAACAUUAAUAUUAAUUGAUUCGAUAAUUUUCACACACAGUUUGUGAUUAGUUACAAUAUACGAUCAAAGACCAGUAGUAGUUGGCUACUAUUAUAGUAUUUUAAUUACAAUAUUGUAAAAUAAAUAGAAGUUAACACACCGGUAUUGUUCUUUGUUUUUAAAAAUGAUAUCAACUUGUGUAAAUACUGCUGUAUACUAAGAGAAAUAACAUGAUCCAUAAAAAAAAUUAUGAGCAUAUAAAAUAUUUUUUCUUUUUAAUAAUUUAAUUACCUGCAUGUUGCAAUCUACUGUAAUUGACAAAACUCUAACCUAUAACAUGUAUAUUCAUUUGUUGUAUCUUUACA